UACGUAGGGUGCAAGCGUUGUCCGGAAUUAUUGGGCGUAAAGAGCUCGUAGGCGGUUUGUCGCGUCUGCCGUGAAAGUCCGGGGCUCAACUCCGGAUCUGCGGUGGGUACGGGCAGACUAGAGUGCGGUAGGGGAGAUUGGAAUUCCUGGUGUAGCGGUGGAAUGCGCAGAUAUCAGGAGGAACACCGAUGGCGAAGGCAGAUCUCCUGGGCCGUAACUGACGCUGAGGAGCGAAAGCGUGGGGAGCGAACAGG
rnacentral:rRNA from 1 species